GGUUUUCUAGCACUGUGGAUCGUCUGAUUUGUGAUUUUACCAGUAGCAAUCCACCUCCAGCUAAUAUAAUGGUCAUUUCCGACGCAAAAUCCUUCACUGAUUAUUCUUCUCCCCUAGAAUCAAGGGGAUACAACAUUCUUCGAUGUGAUUCUCUUGAAAGCUUUUUUCUGGCAGAUUCAGGGGCACUUGACGAUGAUAACUGAAGUGAGUCUGCCUUCUGGAUUUGCUCAUUAUGCCACAUGGAUCUUGGUGGCCAAGGCUUUGAUAAUUACACCACUCAUGUUAAUAGUAGGCGACAUCAACGGGAGUUGUUGUUGGACGACUUGCCUUCGAAUCAACGUUUUACUCGUGCGGAACCUCCCAGACCAAUUUUCACUCGUACGGAAACAAAG